rnacentral:rRNA from 1 species
GGAAUAGCCCAGAGAAAUUUGGAUUAAUACCUCAUAGUAUUAUUUAUAGGCAUCUAUAUUAUAAUUAAAACUUCGGUGGUUAAAGAUGAGCAUGCGUCCUAUUAGCUUGUUGGUAAGGUAAAAGCUUACCAAGGCUACGAUAGGUAGGGGGCCUGAGAGGGUGACCCCCCACACUGGUACUGAGACACGGACCAGACUCCUACGGGAGGCAGCAGUGAGGAAUAUUGCGCAAUGGAGGAAACUCUGACGCUAGCCUAUGCCGCGUGCUAGGAUGAAUGCCCUAUGGGUUGUAAACUGCUUUUCUGCAAGAAGAAACCUUAGUACGUGUACUAAGUUGACGGUACUGCAGGAUAAGCACCGGCU